GAGGGUAUAGCUCAGUGGUAGAGCACAUGUUUAGCAUGCACGAGGUCCUGGGUUCAAUCCCCAGCACUUCCA
rnacentral:tRNA from 1 species